rnacentral:rRNA from 1 species
UACGUAGGGUGCGAGCGUUAAUCGGAAUUACUGGGCGUAAAGCGUGCGCAGGCGGUUCGUUGUGUCGGCGGGGAAAGCCCCGGGCUCAACCUGGGAAUGGCCGUUGAAACUGGCGAACUGGAGUGUGGCAGAGGGGGGUGGAAUUCCGCGUGUAGCAGUGAAAUGCGUAGAUAUCGGGAGGAACACCUGUGGCGAAAGCGGCUCACUGGACCACAACUGACGCUGAGGCGCGAAAGCUAGGGGAGCAAACAGG